AGUGAACGCUGGCGGCGUGCCUAAUACAUGCAAGUCGAACGCGAAAGUCCUUCGGGAUGAGUAAAGUGGCGCACGGGUGAGUAAUACAUGGGAACAUGCCCUUAGAUGGGGAAUAACGUUUGGAAACGAACGCUAAUACCGCAUAAUCUCGCGAGAGUAAAGGUGGCGCCGCAAGGGCUACCGUCUAAGGAUUGGCCCAUGUCCCAUUAGCUAGUUGGCGGGGUAAUGGCCCACCAAGGCAACGAUGGGUAAGUGGUCUGAGAGGAUGAUCACACACACUGGAACUGAGACACGGUCCAGACUCCUACGGGAGGCAGCAGUAGGGAAUAUUGCACAAUGGGGGAAACCCUGAUGCAGCAACGCCGCGUGAGUGAAGAAGGCCCUUGGGUUGUAAAGCUCUUUAGCGAGGGAAGAAGGUAGAUACGGUGAAUAAUCGUGUUUGCUGACGGUACCUCGAGAAUAAGCACCGGCUAAUUUCGUGCCAGCCGCCGCGGUAAAAC
rnacentral:rRNA from 1 species